rnacentral:lncRNA from 1 species
CGUGCAGGAAAUUUUAUUUAAAACCUGAAAAGAAUUAUCAGAAAAUUCAGGGCCAAUAAGAAUUUUCUAUGAGAAAGCAGGAUAUGGGGAAAAAAGUCCAGUAAUCGAAGAUGUUCCCCUGGGCUCUGCAAUACAUAGACCACAUGAAAAUACAACAGGAUGGCAUAUUCACAGUGGCAUCAAGAAUCCCAAAAGUCCUAGGAACGACCAAACCCCAAAUAGCCAGGACUGUGUGAAAUUCCACUGAGACAGCAUCACUCUAAAUUGAAUAAAUGGAGAUAAAUAUCAAUAUUUGAAAGUUGUUCUUUCUUUGGAAAUUAAUGUACAUAUUUAACAAUAUCAAAAAAAAUCUUCAGAAGGAAACAUGUUGGAAUCAAAUAAUUCUAAAAUCCAUUUAAAUUAGAAAACCAAGAAUACCUAUGAAACAGAGUGAAACAGCAAAUUUUAAAACAUCUAAUAAAACCACAAGAAUUAAAUCAGCAUGGCAUUGGGCUAUUACCAGAAAGUCCAAUGAGAAAAUACACAACCCAGAGAGUUUCUGGGGUAGAAAACCUUCACAAAAGGCGAAGGUUGCAUCACCUCAGGGCAGGCAGGGGUGUGAAUCGGGGGCGGGGGGGGGAGGUGUUCAAUUAAUGUGAUAAGUCAAUUGAUGAGCCCUUGGGAGACAGACUUAUUUACUUAUUCCUCAGCAAAUGGAAGUUCCUGGACCAGGGGUAGAAUCUGAGCCGCAGCUGCGACCUAUACCACAGCUGCAGCAACGCUGGCUCCUUAAUCCACUGCCCCAGGCCAGGGACUUAAUCUGCACCUCUGCAGUGACCUGAGCCACUGCAGUCAGAUCCUUAACCCCCUGGGCCACAGCAGGAACUCUGGGAGAAGGAUUAUUUAGAUCCUCACUUCAUACCAUGCAACACAAAUAUCAGAGAAAAACAAACCAUAAACAAAUGGGCACUAGCAUUUAUCUGGAUUUGGAUAUGUGGAUUUCCUACAUGUAAAAAAUUAGUACAAAAAUUAAAAAGGAAACCAUUGAUACAUUGAAAGAUGCUGUGAUGUAUACAUAUCAAUGCAUAUUUUUCUUUUUUUGUUUGUUUGUUUUUUGUUUUUGUCUGUUUGCCUUUUCUAGGGCCGCCUCCCUCGGCAUAUGGAGGUUCCCAAGCUAGGGGUCUAAUCGGAGCUGUAGCCACCGGCCUACGCCAGAGCCACAGCAACGUGGGAUCCGAGCUGCAUCUGCAACCUACACCACAGCUCACAGCAACACCAGAUCCUUAACCCAGUGAGCAAGUGGGUUAAGGAGCCUGCAUGGCUGUGAGCUCAGGUGUAGGUCGCAGAUGCGGCUCAGACCCUGUGUGGCUGCGGCUGCGGCUGUGGCCGGCAGCUGUAGCUCUGAUUCAACCCCUAGCCUGGGGGUUUCCACAGGCCACAGGUGUGCCCCCCCAAAAAGGUACAAACUUCCAGUUACAAAUCAAAUGAGUCAUGGGUGUGAAAGGCACAGCACGGGGCACAGGGCGCAUAACUACGUGACGUCUUUGUCCGGUGACAGGGUGGAACCAGACGUCCAAGUGGCGAGUGGUGAUCUUCUCAAGAUGCAGAGAAACAUCAAACCACUGCGCUGUAGCCCGAACCCAGGCUGCCGGUCAAGCGGACAAACGUGGAGAAAAGGAGGCCGGGUCUGCGGUCACCAGAGGUGGUGGGAGAGGGAGGAGGAGUUGCGUGAAGUGGGCUCAAAAGGAGAGACGUCCGGCUGUGAGGUACCUGAGUCUUCCAGGCGUGUCGCAACAUGGCAAAGUCACGCUGCUGCACGGGAAGAGGCGAGCAGCUGAGAGGAGAACCCUCAGAGCCCCCCGCGAGACAACGGGCGCCCACAGAACCCGUUUGGGUCCUUUCCCCAUCACCCAAGUCCCCUCCAAUUUCACCGUGCCGCGUGUCAAUUUUAUCACAAAACUGGAAGUGCCGAAAAAGAAAGGUGCUCUCUCUCUGUGUCAUACAGCAGUUAAAAUCAACAGGACUUAUAAAACAGGAGGGCAAAAUGAAUGGCUCUGUUAAGUGAAAAAGGUUAUGAAUUGAUAACUCAUAAAUGAAGAAAUACAACUGGUUAAUCUGUAUUUGAGAAAAGAAUAGUUCCGCCCCCCCCGCCCCCCCCCACAAUGCCCAGUUUUAUGAAACGCACACCAACCGUUUGGUGGCCUUGGCCUUGGGAACAGGAAAGGACCGAGCUGUCUGCUUUCCUGGCCUUUGGUCCCCUGGGAGACCCACGUGCCCAAACCCUCUGAGGGCAGGUGUGGCUGGGAUGCUCAAGCUGCUUCCAGGCCUUCUGUUCCUCUCACUGCCCGGCCCUGCAGUGAGGAGUGGACAGCGGUGCCACCUGCUCAGAUGGAGCAGGGCUGAGCAGCCAAGGGCCUUGGGAUGGAGACUCUGGCUCUGCACAUGCAGGAGCCAACCUGACAGGUCCCAGUUACGGUCCAGCGCCAGCUAUGUCACUGAACAAAACAGACAAAGGGCCC